GUCAGCUGAAGUGAAACCAGGCUUUGGCUCCACAGCCAAUAUAGAGGGAGAAGAGAGACUGGAGAAAGCGACAUUGACGGGGCAACCUAAGAAGCCUAAGAGGACAGGCAGACAAACACAGUAUGGCCAGUCUCGGGUCCAGGAGGUGGUGUCUGGAGGGAAGGUUUCACAGCAUAAGGAAAGGGAAUCCUGAGAAUGUAUGGCUGUGAAAUUCGAGGAAGAUGAAGAGGAGAGUCACAUCUUGGUGAAGUGUAGCCAUUACACUGUAGGAUGUUUGGCCUCAGGAUGUAUCCCCCAGCCUCUGCACUGGGAUCCUGCAGUCUGGACACCUGAUUUGUAAAGGUCCCUGGGUGGGCCAGUGAGAGUGGCUCCUGUUCUUCUGGAAUCUGGGCAGAUAGCUUCUUGGUUACAAGUGGGAACCUCUGCUCUUCUCCGUGCUGGGAUCCCCAUCUGGCUUGGACCUGUGCAGGCUCUCUGUGAAUUCAUCUGUGUAUUAGUUGCUAUGUCUGUAAGAUACUGCUUCUGUGGAGGCAUCCACCACCAGGCCCUAUUCCUGUCCUUUUGUUCCUCCUCCCACAAUAACUGAGUUUUCUCUGAUUAACUCAUUUAAGUUUUGUACUGCCUAAAUUGGAAAGUAAAGACAAAUACAUUUUUUUCACUUUUUACCCCAUGGAAGAUUAAUGAUGUCAACUAACUGAAAAAUUAAAAGUAUGCAGGAUACUCACGUUAGCCCAUUUACCCUUUGUAGUGCUCAACCAAGGUUGUAUUCCUAGGGCAGCUGACCAAGUAGAGCAGAUUUCCAGCUAUAGUGAGCCUGGAUAGGAAGCUCACCUUAUAUAUAUGUUCCUGAUGCUGAUUUCAAAGGGCCAUGUGCAGUCUGAUUUAUGUACUGGUUAUAAAACUAAUCCCAUUACUUCAUAUAACCCUUUAUCCUUUAUCAUUUAUGAGGGCUUCCUGUGGAUGCUUAUACAGAGAUAUUGAUUAAGUCAACAAAAGCUUUCAUUAUUGAUACGCAGACGAUUAAUUAUAUAAGUGAAAUGUCUCCUGUAAAUGAGGAAGAGCAGUUUAUACAGGUCUGGCAUGACCUGGAAAAAGGAAACAGCACCUGAGAACACUCCUUAGCAGAGUCUAAUGUGACUUUGAGAUAAGCUUUGUAGAGUUCAACAGUCUGUACUGUCUUCUCCUUGAGGAUCUACUCAAGAGUCACAAUGAUACUGACUCGUCUCACAUCUGAGAGCACAGGGGUUCAAUGUUAUGUGUGUUACUAGAAUUUUAAAGAAAAAGAUUGAUGGCCUCUUUUUCAGACACGAAACUAAUGAAAGAAUUUGCAGGGGUGGAUUAGAUGAGUCAGAUUGUUCUGACCUUUGAUCUUUAUAUUACUUUCCUUUCCAAGAACUAAAACCAGAUUUCUUGUUUCAAAAAAAAUCAGACUAUUUUAAGAGACUACUUCUAUACUCCAUUAAGUUGGAAAAUCUGAAAGAAAUGUACAUGUUUCUAGGUUCACUGAGACCAUGAAAGUUAAACCAAGAAGAGAUCAACAACCUGGGCAGACCCAUAGCAAGUACAUUGAAAUAAUAAUAGAAGCCUUUAAACUAAAAACAGCUUGGAUGGAUUCACAGAAGAAACCUACCAAAUGUUCAAAAAAGAUCCAUAGCCAAUACUUCCUAAAUUAUGAAAAUAAUACAAACAGAAGGAACUCUUCUAAAUCCUUUCUACAAAGUCAGUAUUACUUGCAUACCAAAGCCAGGUAAACAUGACAGAAAAAGAACACCACAGACCAAUAUCCUUGAUGAAGAUAGAUGCAAAAAAUUCUCAAUCCAACCCUUGAAAAUUGAAUACAAAUACAUAUUGAAAAGGUCAUCCACUAUGACUAAGUUGGCUUUAUCCUAGAGACCCAGAAAUAGUUCAGUGUAUGUGUCCUGGCUAGUUUAAUGUCAACUUAACACAAGCUAGAAUCAUCUGAAAGGAGGCAAUCUCAAUUAAGAAAUGCUUCCACAAGAUCCAGAUGUAAGGCAUGUUUCAGAUAUAAUUAGUGAUUGAUGGGCAAGGUCCAAACUAUUGUGGGUGGUGCUAUCCCUAGGCUGGUGGUUCCAGGUUCUAUAAAAAAGAAGGCUGAGCAAGCCAUGAGGAGCAAGCCAAUAAACAGCAUCCCUCUAUGACCUCUGCACCAGCUUCUGCCUUCAGGUUCCAGCCCUGUUUGAGUUCCUGUCCUGAAUUCCUUCAAAGAUGGACUAUAAUGGAGAAGUGCAAGCCAAAUAAGCACGUUUCAUCAUGGCAAUAGGAACACAAACCAGGUUCCCCGUGUGUUCUCUUUUCCAGCCCACAACUCUGCUUGCAUUCCCUGAAACCUGCUGUCACUAGGGACAACCAGGUGAGAUUCCUUCCCCUCCCAAUCCCCUGCCUGCUAUGCCCAAUUCCCUGUCCCCUGAGUUCCAUUUUCUUUGGCCUACAGCUCUGCCUACAUUCCUGGAGACCUAUUGGCUCCAGGGAUAACCAGGUAGGACCCUAGCCAGGUUCUUGCCUGUUAGGUCCCCUUAGAGCACAUCCAGGAUCAGUGCCCCUGAUGCUGCAACUGCCCCUGCAGUUUUAUGGCCAAACUCUGUCUGCACUCUUGGAGGCCUGCCGGCACCAGGGAUAACCAGGUAAACCCCUCCCCCAAUCCCUUGCCUUCCAAGUCCCACUAAAGCACACCCAACAUCGCCCACUAACCCAUGCUCCUCUUUCCAGUCCACAACUCUGCCUGAAUUCCUGGAGGCCUGCUGGCACCAGGGUCAACCAGAUGGCUAAAGGCCAGCAUAAGAAUGCAACAAGAGCCAGGGCAGCAUGGCACUGCCAGAGCCCAGCUAACCUACUACAGCAAGCCCUGGAUGUCCUAACACAGCUGAAGCACAAGAAAAUGACCUUAAAUCCAAUCAUAUGAAAAUGGUAGAAGCCUUUAAAAAGGAAAUGAGUAAAUCUCUCAAAGAAAUGCAGGGAAAUACAAUCAAACAGGUGAAGGAAAUAAAUAAAACUAAGACCUGGAAAUGGAAGUAGGAGCAAUAAAGAAAACACAGACUGAGGGAAUCCUGGAGAUGGAAAACCCAGGUAAGGGAAUAGAAACUACAGACACAAGUACCACUAACAGAAUACAAGAGAUGGAAGAUAUAAUCGCAGGUGUAGAAGAUACUGUAGAAGAAAGCAACAUAGCAGUCAAAGAAAACAUCAAAUCUAAAGGGUUUCUAAACACAAAGCAUCCAGGAAAUAUUGGACACUAUGAAAAGACCAAACUUAAGAGUAGUAGGAAUAGAAGAAGAUCCCCCAGCUCAAAGGCCCAGAAAAUAUUUUCAACAAAAUUAUAGAAGAAAACUUCCCCAACCCAAAGAAAGAGAUACCUAUAAACAUAUAAAAAGCUUACAGAGCACCAAUAGAUUGGGUCAGAAAAGAACCCAACCCCGCAAAAUAAUUAAAAUACUACAUGUACAGAACAAAGAAUAUUAAAAGCUGAAAGGGGAAAAGGCCAAGUAACAAUAAAGGCAGACCUAACAAAAUUACACGUGACUUCUCAACAAAGACUAUAAAAGCCAGAAGGGCCUGGACAGACAUCUUGUAGUCUCUAAGAGAGCACAGAUGCUAGCCCAGACUACUAUAUCCAGUAAAACUUUCAAUCGCCAUAGACCAAGAAAACAAAAUAUUCCACAACAAAACCAAAUUUAAGCACUAUCUGUUGCAGUAAAUAAUAAAAAUAGAAGUCACCAACCCAUGCUAUUGCCAGCACCGGUGGGCCACAUGGCAUCUGCAGGGUAUUUUCAUCUCAAUCAGCAAAAUGUCUCAAUCCAACUCAUCCAAUUUCCAUCUUGUGCUGUCACCAGCUACUCUCUGAGCUUUGUGGCAAUCUCAUCACCAUGGCUAGCCCCAGAAGUGACUGCCCUUCUAGUUCUAAUGCCAUGGGUUGCCACCAUGCCAGCCCCAUUCAGCCAUCCAUCCCCUGUGGUUAUAGUCACAAUUCCCAGUAUCCUGUUAAAAUCAAAACUCAAUAUGCUUGUAAUUUAUCAAUUAGAUUUAUAUCAGAAAAUUCUCACUCUACAAAACAUCUACACAAUAAACUCAGAGCCAAUUAAUAGUGAUAUAAACUGCCCACCUAGAUAAGACAAAUUGUCCUGUAAAAAUCCACCCCUUAUGAAAUAUCCAUAGCUACUUGUGGCCACUUAAAGCCACACAGAUCUGGGUCAUCCUUCUCUGCCUCCAUCCUGGUUCUUCCUCCCCCUUCUCCUCUCUCUCUUCUCUCUCCAAAAUUCUGUGCCUGCCUUACCUUUUCACUGUCCAAUCACAGGUCUCCCCUUAUCUUGUGCUUGCCCUCACCUGCAUAUAGACAUCAAUCCACAUCUAUCCACAUAUCCAGCCCUACAGAAGAGACUAGAAGAAAAACCAUACAAGAUUGUUUUAGCACAGAACUCUUCUAGACUUUCAAAGGAGAGAUAAUGUUAGUACUCCUCAAACUAUUCCACAAAAUAGAAACAGAAGGAACAUUACCAUAUCUUUCUGUGAGGUCACAGUCUCCCUAAUACAUAAACCACAUAAAGACCCAACAGAGAAUUUCAGACCAAUUUCCCAUAGGAACAUUGAUGUAAAAAUACCAGGGAUGCAGGGUUGGUUCAAUAUAUGAAAAUCCACCAAUGUAAUCCACCAUAUAAACAAGCUGAAAGAAAAAAAGCCCACAUUAUAAUCUCAUUAGGUACUGCAAAAACCUUUGACAAAACCCAAUGCUUCCUCAUGAUGAAAGUCUCAGAGAAAUUAGGGAUACAGGGCACAUACCUAAACACAACAAAGGCAUUAUACAGCAAGCUGAUAGCCAACAUCAAAUUAAAUGGAGAGAAACUUUAAACAAUUCCAGUAAAAUCAGGAACCAGACAAGGCUAUUCACUCUCUCCAUAUCUCUUCAAUUUAGUACUUGAAAUUUUAGUUAGAGCAAUAAGAAAGGAGACAAGGGGAACAAAAUUGGAAAGGAAGAAAUGAAAGUAUCUUAUUAGCAAAUGAUAUGAUAGUGUACAUAAGUUAUCUCUAUUAGCAGGUGAUAUGAUAGUAUACAUAAGUUAUCCCCUAAACUCUAUCAGAGAACUGCUACAGCUGAUUAAAAACCUUCAGCAGUGGGUGGAUACAAAAUUAACUAAAAAACAAACAAAAACAAAAAACCAGUAGCCCUCCUUUAUACAAACAAUAAAGGGCUGCAAAGGAAAUUAGGGAAGCAGCACCCUUCACAAUAGCUCUUCUAGAUCCAGCAGGUGAAAGGGGUAAGCUGUCCUUCAUUUUCCUCUCAUGUUGUAUAUCUACGGUGUGUCAGGCACACUUCAGAUGCAGUGAGAGUGUCUGUUAGCUACAACCUGGCAGUCACAAUGCAUAGAACCUAGAGAAGACACUGAACACAGAGGUUUGGGCAUGUCCAAUACAUAAUCCAAAGAUGAGACAAUUAUGUUUCCCCAAGAGGACAAUUAUGUUUCCCCAAGAGGAACGGUUAGAGACACUUGCUUACUCUGCUCAUUGCUGUUUCAUUCAUAACAGUGUCAGUGGAAAAACACAUCUCACCUCUAAGGGGAGAGUAGAGAGUUUAUUCUGGGCACAAAUAUGAAUGACUUUGGCCCUGGCCAGGGAACACAGAUUUAGGUUACCAUAAAUGCCAUGUUCCAUUGUGGAAGCAGGUUCACAAAGUUUAUACAGGAACAGAACAAUGAAUUUUUUUUCAAAUAUAUUAAGUAGGCAGUUACAAGAAAGCUGAAAGUCUCCCUGUAGAGCCCAGAUUCUGUGUGAUGACUCUCAGCCCUUAGAUUGGCAGAGACCAUGGUUUUGUUAAUACAUUCCAAAAAGUUCUUUACCUAGUAGACAUAGGAUGUUAGGUUGGACACAGAAGUAGACAGGUGUGGGGCUCUGGUGCCUGGGGCUUCUCCACGGUGAUCUCUCAUCCGGCUAGGUACAUGGGUCUAGGCGAGGGAGGAGAGAACUCAGUCAGGGAGGGGGACUGCUUCUGCUGCCUCUGCCGCUGGUCCUGCUCCUUUCUGCCACUGCUGCCUUGGUUGCUGGGGUCAGGAUGGGCCAGCAAGAUUCCAGCCAGUUUUGCAUCCCUUUUGUGUGGACUUUGCUCACAUUCCCAGCAUCUGCCCCUUGGGAUUAUAGUCACAACUCCCAGGAACCCAUUAAAAUCAAGACUUUUGAAACUUGUAAUUUAUCAAUCAGAUUUAUAUCAGUAAAUUCUCACUUCAUAAAAUGUUGACACAAUAAACUCAGAGCCAAUUGAUAUUGAUGUAGACUGCCCACUUAGAUAAGACAAAUGUCCUGUAACAAUCCCUUAUAAGAUAUUCAUAGCUACCUGUGGCUAUUAAAGCCACAUGGGGCUGGUUCAUAUUUAUCCUCGUCCGUCUUGGUUUCUUCUCUCUCUCCCACCUUUCAAAAACUCUGCCCCCACCUUUCUUUUUCACUGCCCAAUCACAGGCCUUGCUUUAUCUUGUGCCUGCCCUCACCAGCAUAUAGACAUCAAUCAGACCUUUCUGUCUAAUUUAAAAAAAAAACAAA